rnacentral:rRNA from 1 species
GAUGAACGCUGGCGGCGUGCUUAACACAUGCAAGUCGAACGGAAGGGCUCCUGCUUGCAGGGGUACUGGAGUGGCGAACGGGUGCGUAACACGUGGGUGAUCUGCCCUGCACUUCGGGAUAAGCCUGGGAAACUGGGUCUAAUACCGGAUAGGACCACAUUUUGGAUGGUGUGGUGGAAAGUUUUUCGGUGUGGGAUGAGCUCGCGGCCUAUCAGCUUGUUGGUGGGGUAAUGGCCUACCACGGCGUCGACGGGUAGCCGGCCUGAGAGGGUGUACGGCCACAUUGGGACUGAGAUACGGCCCAGACUCCUACGGGAGGCAGCAGUGGGGAAUAUUGCACAAUGGGCGCAAGCCUGAUGCAGCGACGCCGCGUGGGGGAUGACGGCCUUCGGGUUGUAAACUCCUUUCGCUAGGGACGAAGCGUUUUUGUGACGGUACCUGGAGAAGAAGAACCGGCUACUACGUG